GAUCAACCUUAAGCAUUCGACUUCUUUACACCAAUUCAAUAUAUAUAGCUACUUUCUGUAGAACUAAAGCCCAGGCAUAUAUGUUAUCAGACUUUCCUAAUGCGAAGUAUUUUUCUUUUACUCAGAAACUUCAUUUUUGGAAUGAAUUGGAGCGAUAUCAAGAUAUUUGCCGUUCAAAUUACUUUUUGAAGAGUAUUAUGAGUAUCUGUGCUUGAACUAACUAAAUAAACAUCUAUGGUUUAUCAAAACAUCAGGGGGUUGGACUGUUUACUGAUCGGAGGUCAUGUUCUUUUAAGAGUUUAAAAAGCUAAUUAUAUAUGGAUUGGGUUGCUGGAUUAAAUAAGCAUGUGCAUGUAUUAUCAAGAAACAAUUUGCAGGUCAGCAGGGAUAUUUUGAUACGAGAUUGAUGGAAAAUACUGAACCCGAAUGACUGUGAAUCAGAGUCACAGCUACAAGGCAACAACAAUUUAAAGAUCGAUGCAAUUCCGGAUGGACUCCCAAUACUAUAAUACUCCACAGACAUGCAUGGGCUCCGUUUUUUCUUGCUAAAAUAUUUGGUUGAUGAAUCUACUCAGAAUUCGAUGCAAAUCUAUGUUACACAUAUUGGGGCCGUUUGGGCAAGCUUAAAAAAGUGACUUCUUGCUUAAACUAGAGAAGUGGAGCAGAAGUGAGAAGUAAAUAAGUGAAUAAAGUGUUUGGAAAAAAAGCAGAAGUUGUGAGAGAGAAGCUAGGAUUUCCAGCUUCUUAAAAGUGCUUCUGCUUCUUUACACAAACGGGUCAAGAAAAGCAGAAGCCAGAAGCAGCUUCUGCUUCUGGUAAACAAACAGAGCCAUAACCUCCCGACCCCCAAACCACAAACAAACAAACAAACAGAAAUACUGUACAAGUUAGCGUUGAGUCUUGCUUAGUUUAUGAUACAAGAAAUAAGGUGAUAAGGUUCAUAUCAGGCAAGCCCUGCAACUGCAACUUGUAGGUACUAAUUAUAAGAGGUGUUACUUGUACUCAAGCAAGUCAUGGUGACUAUAUGAUUUUAGCAAACUCUUUAAGUUUUCUUCACUCUUGCAAACUUCAGGUAGAUAUUAACUCUUUUAUGGUUAUUUGGUAACUUUAAAUUCAUUUGAAAUUCUGACAUGUUAUGACAAUCAGAAAAAUUUCAGUCUGGAUUAAUUUGAUUCAAAGACAUCCAGGUUAAUUUGUGAUUCAAUUUAAUUAUAUCAAUCAAUCAAAGUUAUAGUGGAAAUUAGUUUAACAGCUCACAGGAAUGGAAAAAGCUAAAAAGAAUCAAGUAGCACUGCCUCAAUGAGCUGUUUCCAAAAUAUAUGGUGUCUAUUACUACUAGCGGCGCCUUAAAAAAGUGAGGAGCCAGUCCACUAGUCCAGGAAGAGGCUGGUUAUAAAACAGCUUCUGAGCAACAACGAACCAAUCAAAAAUUGGUUCAUAAUUGAGAUACAUAUAGUGAAAGACAAUGAUUCUCCAUAUCUGUGGACAGUGGCUAUGUAUGCACCUUGAACAAAAAACACACACCCUCUCUCUCUCACUAUUAUGUAUCAUGUUUAUUAUAAACAUGUUUUGAAUUUAUGUGUUUAAUAACGCAGGGGUUUUAGGUCCACUGGGAGAAUUAUACAUGUGCAAUCUGCAAACCCAUGUGGUCUGGUCAUGUGUGUUUGCCUGCUGCAUUCUUGUCUUAUUCCAGACAUGGCUUUUCAAUUUUCAUCAUCCCGCUUUCAGCUUUAAUUCUUCAACUUGAUGCGAGGUAUGGAUCGAGCUAAAUAUUAAUCUGACGCAAUAGUAUCAACAUAAAUACUGCCUACAUGCAUGAACAUUCUUAAUUUACGUUAUCAGUAAGUACUUAUUCUUGAUUCUCAUGUCGAAAGUUUCUGCGGACAACUCAAAUGUCUCGUACUAAUGGAGUUGACAGCUUCUUAACGGAUUUGGGACAUGAUUUUUCAAGAUUCCUCCUCUUAUUAUGAGUCCGUUUGACUGAUUUUAAAAUUAUAAUUUAUAAUGAUUUAUUGUGAUGAUUUUAGAGUUUAAAAUAUUUGUUUUGGUAAUUUUGACUAAUUAUAAUAUAUAGGUUAUUAA